GCCGGCGGCGUCGGCGGAACGUACGGCGGCGUCGGCGGCACGUACGGCGGCACGUAGGGCGGCGACGGCGGCACGUUGGGCGGUGACGGGCGAGGCGUCGGUGGGACGUAUGGCGGCACGUAGGGCGGUGACGGGCGAGGCGUCGGCGGGACGUACGGUGGCACGUACGGCGGCGACGGCCGAGGCGUCGGGGGGACGUAUGGUGGCACGUAGGGCGGCGACGGGCGAGGCGUCGGCGGGACGUACGGUGGCACGUACGGCGGUGACGGCCGAGGCGUCGGCGGGACGUACGGUGGCACGUACGGCGGCGACGGCCGAGGCGUCGGGGGGACGUAUGGUGGCACGUAGGGCGGCGACGGGCGAGGCGUCGGCGGGACGUACGGUGGCACGUACGGCGGUGACGGCCGAGGCGUCGGAGGCACGUACGGCGGGUUGCACGGCGGGCAGUUGGACGGGGGGCCGUGGUGGCGCUUGGGCGGCUUGCCAUGGUGGGGCGGGUGGCUGUGGCC
rnacentral:lncRNA from 1 species